GCCUUCGUAGCUCAGGGGAUAGAGCACCGGUUUCCGGUACCGGGUGCCGCAGGUUCGAAUCCUGCCGAGGGCA
rnacentral:tRNA from 1 species